UACGUAGGUGGCAAGCGUUGUUCGGAAUUAUUGGGCGUAAAGGGCGCGUAGGCGGUCUUGUAAGUCAGCUGUGAAAGCCCGGGGCUCAACCCCGGAGGGUCGGCUGAUACUGCAGGACUGGAGUACGGAAGAGGUAGCUGGAAUUCCCGGUGUAGCGGUGAAAUGCGUAGAUAUCUGGAGGAACACCGGUGGCGAAGGCGGCAUCCUGGACCGACACUGACGCUGAGGAGCGAAAGCCAGGGGAGCAAACGGG
rnacentral:rRNA from 1 species